rnacentral:rRNA from 1 species
UACAGAGGUCUCGAGCGUUAUGCGGAAUCACUGGGCUUAAAGCGUGUGUAGGCGGCUCGUUAAGUGCCUUGUGAAAUCCCACGGCUCAACCGUGGAACUGCUUGGCAUACUGGCGGUCUUGAGCAACCUAGGGGCGAGCGGAACAAAUGGUGGAGCGGUGAAAUGCGUAGAUAUCGGGAGGAACAUCAGUGGCGAAGGCGGCUACCUGGACCAAUACUGACACUCAGGUGCGACAGCGUGGGGAGCAAACAGG